rnacentral:rRNA from 1 species
GAUGAACGCUGGCGGCGUGCCUAAUACAUGCAAGUCGAGCGAACGGACGAGAAGCUUGCUUCUCUGAUGUUAGCGACGGACGGGUGAGUAACACGUGGAUAACCUACCUAUAAGACUGGGAUAACUUCGGGAAACCGUAGCUAAUACCGGAUAAUAUUUUGAACCGCAUGGUUCAAAAGUGAAAGACGGUCUUGCUGUCACUUAUAGAUGGAUCCGCGCUGCAUUAGCUAGUUGGUAAGGUAACGGCUUACCAAGGCAACGAUGCAUAGCCGACCUGAGAGGGUGGUCGGCCACACGGGAAGUGAGACACGGUCCAGACUCCGACGGGAGGCAGCAGUAGGGAAUCUUCCGGGAGGGGCGAAAGCGUGACGGAGCAACGCCGCGUGAGUGAUGAAGGUGCCCGGAUCGUAAAACUCUGUUAUUAGGGAAGAACAUAUGUGUAAGUAACUGUGCACAUCUUGACGGUACCUAAUCAGAAAGCCACGGCUAACUACGUG